UUUUCCUACGUGACGCAGCAGUGAGGAAUAUUGGUCAAUGGCCGCAGGGCUGAACCAGCCAAGUCGCGUGAGGGAUGACGGUCCUAUGGAUUGUAAACCUCUUUUGUCAGGGAGCAAAGGGCGCCACGUGUGGCGUUUUGCGAGUACCUGAAGAAAAAGCAUCGGCUAACUCCGUGCCAGCAGCCGCGGUAAUACGGAGGAUGCGAGCGUUAUCCGGAUUUAUUGGGUUUAAAGGGUGCGUAGGCGGAAUAUCAAGUCAGCGGUAAAAAUUCGGGGCUCAACCCCGUCGUGCCGUUGAAACUGAU
rnacentral:rRNA from 1 species